AGGGGAAAACGUCACAAACUGAGAAAUACCUCUGCAGGGGAAAGCCAAGCAGGGCACAGAAAACGUGACGGAGAUUACAGUGAGGCUGAGACAGCACCCGAGACCCAGGGAGCUCAGCACACCCCUGCAGCAGCUGCACCCUUGGACGUGGGAUUCCAGACUGGUUCCCCCAAAUAGUUAAUGUACUGGGAUGAUUCUACCCUAAAACUAGCUGGCUGCAACCCACCCCGUUUCAGAAGACGUCUGGUUUCUCCUGUUUAUCUGCACAGCGGCUCUGCUGCAGGGACAGACUAAACAUCCAGGAAGGAGAGAGAUCUCAGCCCCAAACCACAGGGAUGCAAACUGCAGGAGAGCCUUGUGCUGAAGUACAAGAGCACAAACAGAGCAAGGGGCUUUCUCUGGUGGAGAAGCCUUCUGGUGUACACGGGUGUGAAAGCAGAGAGAGGCUGAGAAACACUAAAGGUAUGAAAUGAUUCCACUGUAAAUGCAGGGGAAAGGACGUGGGAGGAAUUCUUGAGAACUGCUUCACACAGUAAAAAUUAUUUCUGAUUUA